AUUGAACGCUGGCAGCAUGCCUUACACAUGCAAGUCGAACGGCAGCACGGGAGCAAUCCUGGUGGCGAGUGGCGAACGGGUGAGUAACAUAUCGGAACGUGCCCAGUAGUGGGGGAUAACUGCUCGAAAGAGCAGCUAAUACCGCAUACGACCUGAGGGUGAAAGGGGGGGAUCGCAAGACCUCUCGCUAUUGGAGCGGCCGAUAUCAGAUUAGCAUAGUUGGUGGGGUAAAGGCCUACCAAGGCAACGAUCUGUAGUUGGGCGGAGAGGACGACCAGCCACACUGGGACGGAGACCCGGCCCAGACUCCUACGGGGGGCAGCAGGGGGGAAUUUUGGACAAGGGGCGCAAGCCUGAUCCAGCAAUGCCGCGUGCAGGAAGAAGGCCUUCGGGUUGUAAACUGCUUUUGUCAGGGAAGAAAUCCUCUAGGUUAAUACCCUUGGGGGGAUGACGGUACCUGAAGAAUAAGCACCGGCUAACUACGUGCCAGCCGCCGCCGUAACAC
rnacentral:rRNA from 1 species